UACGUAGGGGGCUAGCGUUGUCCGGAAUCAUUGGGCGUAAAGCGCGUGUAGGCGGCCCGGUAAGUCCGCUGUGAAAGUCGGGGGCUCAACCCUCGGAUGCCGGUGGAUACUGUCGGGCUAGAGUCCGGAAGAGGCGAGUGGAAUUCCCGGUGUAGCGGUGAAAUGCGCAGAUAUCGGGAAGAACACCUAUGGCGAAAGCGGCUCACUGGACCACAACUGACGCUGAGGCGCGAAAGCUAGGGGAGCAAACAGG
rnacentral:rRNA from 1 species